AUUGAACGCUGGCGGCAUGCUUUACACAUGCAAGUCGAACGGUAACAGGUUAAGCUGACGAGUGGCGAACGGGUGAGUAAUGCAUCGGAACGUGCCCGGUCGUGGGGGAUAACGCAGCGAAAGCUGCGCUAAUACCGCAUACGAUCUGAGGAUGAAAGCGGGGGACCGUAAGGCCUCGCGCGAUCGGAGCGGCCGAUGUCAGAUUAGGGAGUUGGUGGGGUAAAGGCUCACCAAGCCAACGAUCUGUAGCUGGUCUGAGAGGACGACCAGCCACACUGGGACUGAGACACGGCCCAGACUCCUACGGGAGGCAGCAGUGGGGAAUUUUGGACAAUGGGCGAAAGCCUGAUCCAGCAAUGCCGCGAGCAGGAAGAGGGCCUUCGGGUUGUAAACUGCUUUUGUACGGAGCGAAAAGGCCUCCUCUAAUACAGGGGGCUCAUGACGGUACCGUAAGAAUAAGCACCGGCUAACUACGUGCCAGCCGCCGCCGUAA
rnacentral:rRNA from 1 species